UUUCCGGUUGAUCCUGCCGGGAAGGUACUGCUUUUGGAGUUCGAUUUAGACAUGCAAGUCAAAGCCCGCUUGCGGGCUUGGCGAACGGCUCAGUAACACGUGGGUAACCUAACCUAAAGACAGGCAUAACCUUGGGAAACUGAGGAUAAUUCCUGAUAGGGUAUUGAUACUGGAAUGUGCUUUACUUUAAAGGCCAUGCUUCGGUAUGGCGCUUUAGGAUGGGCCUGCGGCAGAUUAGGCUGUUGGUGAGGUAAAGGCUCACCAAACCGAUAAUCUGUACGGGCGAUGGAAGUCGUAGCCCGGAGAAGGGGACUGAGACAAGGCCCCUAGCCCUACGGGGUGCAGCAGUUACGAAAACUUCGCAAUGCGCGAAAGCGUGACGAGGGAACUCCAAGUGAUUUCACUUAGUGGAAUCUUUUCUUAAGUGUAAAUAGCUUGAGGAAUAAGGACUGGGUAAGACUCGUGCCAGCCGCCGCGGUAAUACGAGCAGUCCAAGUGGUGCCCGUGAAUAUUGGGCUUAAAGCGUCCGUAGCCGGCCUGAUAAGUCUUUAGUGAAAGCUCAUCGCUCAACGGUGAGAAGUGCUAGGGAAACUAUCAGACUUGGAGGCGGGAGAGGCCAGGGGUAUUUCUAGGGUAGCGGUUAAAUGUUAUAAUCCUAGAAAGGCCAUCGGUAGCGAAGGCGUCUGGCUGGAACGUGCUCGACGGUGAGGGACGAAGGCUAGGGGAGCGACCCGGAUUAGAUACCCGGUUAGUCCUAGCUGUAAAUGAUGCAGACUUGGUGUCAUGUGAUCCACGAGAUUAUGUGGUGCCGAAGGGAAACCAUUAAGUCUGCCGCCUGGGGAGUAUGGUCGCAAGGCUGAAACUUAAGGGAAUUGGCGGGGGAGCACCACCAGGGGUGGAGAUUGCGGUUUAAUUGGAUUCAACGCCGGA
rnacentral:rRNA from 1 species